rnacentral:rRNA from 1 species
GAUGAACGCUGGCGGCGUGCCUAAUACAUGCAAGUCGAGCGCACAGAUGAGGCCCUUGCUCCUUUGACGUUAGCCGCGGACGUGUGAGUAACACGUGGAUACCCUACCUAUCUGCCUGGGAUCACUUCGGGACUCCGGGGAUCAUAACCGAUAACCUAAUAAACCUCAUUGUUCCAUAGUGAAUGACUGUAAUGCUCUAUCUUAUCGCUGCCACAGCGACGUAUUAGGUAGUGGGUAGGGUAACGGCUUACCAAGGCGACAAUCCGCAGCAGACCUGAGAGGGUGAUCGGCCACACGGGAACUGAGACACGCCCCGGACUCCUACGGGAGGAAGCAGUAGGGAAUCUUCCGCAUUGAGCGAAGGCCGGACGGAGCAAGGCCGCGGGAGGGAUGAAGGUCUUCGGAUGGUAAGACUCGGUGAUUGGGGAAGAACAAAGGGGUAAGUAACUGUGCACGUCGUGACGGUACCUAAUCAGAAAGCCACGGCUAACUACGUG